CUGUGAUAUACCCCACUGAAUUGGAGGCGCAGUGUCGUGGAUCCACAUUUAUUUCAGCUGGAAUCAGUCGAUGCCUGAUUGCUUUAUUUGCCGUUCAUCAGGUCUUGACACUGUUAGAACUUCUCCUCUGAAGCUGAACGAUUGAUGUUCUUCAGGUCACUGCACCCACCUUUCGACAAAGGCUUAGACCUUCCAAAAAGCAGGGAGACUCCUCCACUGAUCCAGUCGUCCGCCGUGAAGAUCAGGACACUACAUAGGGCAAGGCCACGUUACACCGGUGACGGACACUGACAGCCUAGACCAUUAAACG
rnacentral:lncRNA from 1 species